UAACAAGAUGUAGGUAAGAAGGUUGCUCAUUGUUGAAGCGUUGGAGACCUGGCUAAUCCUGUGUUCAAUGGUUUUGACCAUUUAAAGGGGGGGGGGGAGACAAACGAUUAUUCGUAUACGUCUUAGGGUUCGUUCGGCAGUUAUGUGUUGAUGAAUUGUCGGAACGAUCGAUACACGCCUUAGUGUGGUUUAUGGAUUCUCUAAGAAUUUUGUCUCGGAAGUUAAAUCGUGGCGCGUAACCCAGUUCUCGACAGAGAGCGACUACUCACCGAUCCGAUCUCCGUCGGACAACAGUUACCGGUCGCCUAUCGGAACUCUUGAUUUUCACUGGUUCGUUCAUUUUGCCGGUCUGUAUAGCUGUGCGUCCGUUUUGCCGGUCUGUAUACCUGCGCGUCCAUUUUCCAAGCGAGUAAACGGCUUUGUGAAAGUAUCGAACACAGAUGGAAAUAAGAAUGGACGUAAUAUCGUGUAAAAAGGUUCCUAGUAUCAACAGCUACGGUGGAUUGGAAAAAUGUUUGCUGCUCAUACCCAAAUGGUAAAGUGGACUUUCCCUGCUUUUGCCCUUAUAAUUGGUCUAUUGUGGUACAAACGGCGUCAAGCAGACAGAGCUGAUCCAGGUGGAAUAAAUAAAAA
rnacentral:misc_RNA from 1 species